UACGUAGGGUGCGAGCGUUGUCCGGAAUUAUUGGGCGUAAAGAGCUUGUAGGCGGUUUGUCGCGUCUGCCGUGAAAAUCCGAGGCUCAACCUCGGACUUGCGGUGGGUACGGGCAGACUAGAGUGUGGUAGGGGAGACUGGAAUUCCGUGGUGUAGCGGUGAAAUGCGCAGAUAUCGAGGAGGAACACCGAUGGCGAAGGCAGGUCUCUGGGCCACUACUGACGCUGAGGAGCGAAAGGCGUGGGGAGCGAACAGG
rnacentral:rRNA from 1 species